ensembl:lncRNA
CUAGUUUUGACAGUUUUUUGACUAGUUUUAACUGGUUGUAGACUAGUUUUAAUUGGUUUUAGACUAGUUUUGACUGGUUUUAAACUAGUUUUGACUGGUUUUAAACUAGUUUUGAUUGUCUUAAGACAAGUUUUGACUGGUCUAAGACUAGCUUUGACUGGUUUAAGACUCGUUUUAGUUGGUUUAAGACUAGUUUUGAUUGGAUUUAGACUAGUUUUGACUGGUUUUAGACUAGUUUUAGAAUAGUUUUGACUGGUUUUAGACUAGUUUUCCAAAACUGAACUGUCUGGCACAUUGAGGAUUUCAAGAAUAAGUCGGAACUCCUUCUGUCUUUUUUCAAAAUAUUCAAAAUUUGGUGUUAAAACAAAGAGAAAAAAGAUUCUACAAUUUUUUUAGUUUUGAAUUGAUCAUAAAUUAUGAUAAAUGGUGUCUAACAUUUAUUUCAAACCUGAUCUCAGUCCAGGACUCACAGCAGCUUUCAAACUUCAGUGAAUUUACACCAGAAAAGCAUCAUGUUGAACCUCAGCUGAAGCAUAUUCACUUUAAACCCUGAGGAGCCUCCAGUAAACCUCUGACAGUUUAAAAAGCAUCAGUGGUGGUUAAACAUCACAGUUAAACCCAACUUUCUUUGCGUUCACAUGAAGAUUUCCUGUCGUUAUGAACAGCGUUUCAGUUUAUUGUUGUGUUAAAACUCUGUGCUAACGGAAACACUCCCUGGAAACAGGGACAACAGGACAAACAUCUGUUUCUGAAGCUGAGCAGUUAAACUUUUGAUUCUCAUUGAAACAGUCCCAUAUUUUCCUGCUAAUUUCCUUGAAACCUUCCUGAAAGUUUCCAGAAACUUAGCUGUAAAUGACAUCUUACUGUGGUGCUAAUCAGAGACGCUCCAGUAAGUAGUUUAUGAUUCAUAUUUACUGAUCAAGAACCGACAUCUUUAGCUGUUCUAGGAAACUCUGAUGUCUGUUGGAGUUUAGCACCAAACUGAGUCGGUUCAUAUUUCUUCUUUUAGGGCUGAACAGCAGCUCGCUUUCAGGAAGUUAUGAGGAACGUUUCCAGAAAUGUGGCUGUAAAAUAAACCAGACAUCUUCACAAUGAUGGAAAAGCUGCUAGCUAAAACCAGACCAGCUGAGCACUCAACCUCCCACAAUGCUUCACUCUAUAGUGCCUGUACUUAAAGUUAGCAGUAAAACUUGUUACCUGUACAAUGUCGUACUGUACGUGUGCAUGAGUGUGAAUGUCAGCGAGAACGACCAUUUUCUUUGCUUCUCAACACACUAGCAACUGAUUUGGGCAACUUUAAUGGUCAACACUGUCUUCAGUUUGAUUCUAUAUCCGACAGACUGCAGUCCCUUAGAGUCCCCAGAUAAUCCAUGUUAACCUUUGAUAGUGCAUUAGGAGGUAAUAGUGCUUUAGAACUGACGCUGUCAUUUUUACUGUAUUUGUUUAGUACUACAGCUCAUUAGCCGCAGAUCAAAUCUGAAGUUUGAACAAAUACUGAAUAUCAGCACUUAAAAUUAAAUACCAGCGACAUGUUAAAGUAUUUAAAGAUUUAUUCCUGAAUUUAAAUAGUAGGUAAAGUCAAAACACACAGCAAAAACAGAAAUAUUCAAACACCUGCUUAUAACUGUAGCAUAUCGCUAAUGUGGAUGCUAACAUAUAUUAGCCUUACCUCGUUGUAGUUUUAGUUAGCUCGCGGGCUCACUAACACAAACAAUUAACUGCCAAAUUAGCGCCAGCUAGAAUAUGAAGCACAAAUGUAGCACACUGACAAUAUACAACAUGUAUUAAUGUGUUUUAAUAGCAGGAGCACCAAGCUACGUUAGCUUUUGCCAUGUAUUUAGAAGCCAAUGACGUCCAGCUGUUUUAACAGUAGCAGAGUUCACUGGCUAGAUGUUGUAGCUAAAGUUAGCUAGUAGUAAAAAAAAAUGGCUGCAGAAGUUUGGACCAUUUUAGGGAAACCUCAACUUCUUUGCAUAGUCACGUGACUCUUGAAUUAAUGAUCUUGAGUCUUGAAUCAUCCCUCCCCAGGUAGUUUAACCACCAUUAACACCAUAAAUCCUUCCUCCCCAGGCAGUUUAACAACAAGCAACACCUUAACUCAUCCCUCCUCAGGUAGUUUUAUAAUACUAACACCUUGAGUAAUCCCUCCUCAGGCAGUUCACCCAGCAUUAGCACCAUACAUCGUCCCUCCCCAGGUAGUUUUAAUAUGCAAAUACCUUAAAUCAUCCAUCUUAAGUUGGUUUCACCUCCAUUAACACCUUAAAUCAUCCCUCCUUAGGCAGUUUUAACACACAAACACCUUGAGUCAUCCCUAACCAGGCAGUUUUAACAUACAAACACCUGAAAUCAUCCAUCUUUAAUUGGUUUCACCUCCAUUAACACCUUGAGUAAUUCCUCCUACCUAGUAAUUCCUCUCCAGGCAGUUUAACCACCAUUAACACCAUACAUCGUCCCUCCCCAGGUAUUUUCACCACAAGCAACACCUUGAAUCAUCCUUCCCCAGGCAGUUUUAACAUACAAACACCUUAAAUCGUCCAUCUUAUGUCGGUUUCACCACCAUUAAUAUCUUGAGUAAUUCCUCCCCAGGCAGUUUCAGCACCAUAAUCGCUUUGAGUCUCUCCUCACCAGGUAGUUUCAGUUACCAGCUUGAGUCGUCCCUCUCUAUGCAGUUUCCCUCUAUAAUACUUUGAGUCGUAGGAAGCGUCCUCUUGGUCGUUCUGUCAGCUGAGUCCUCUCCUUUUUGAGCAGCGAUGCUUUGAUUCUGUUGUAAUAUCACAACUGGCCACCAGGACACGCCCGUGGUCGUAGCUUUAAUGACCACCACUCUUCAGACUGACGCUAAUCUCUGCACUCCUUUUGGUUUGGGUAGAUAAAAGAGGCACAAAUUACAAAUUAGUUUGCACAAAAAAACAGAAAAUAAGAGUUCUUUAUUCACAUAAGUUUAACCUCUUGCUGUGCAGCAGCGCCCCCUGGUGUAUGGACGACAGACUUAUUAGGAGCUCAUAAACGCCAAAUAUGUGAAAUUAGAAGUUUAGAAGAGUUGCUGUUGGUUUGUAAUAAUGCAGACAUCUUCCCACCCUCUAAAACAGUGCAUCCUAUAAUAAUCCACCAUGUCUAAAUAUAAGAUGACUUUUAAAUAAGUUUACUGACAAAUUACAAAGUCCUGCAUGUCCACAUGUCCACGAGUCGCUGGACAGAUUCUGAAGGAAAGUUUCUGCCUGCACCUGGUUUCAGACUAGUUUAGAACUAGUUUAGAUCUAGUUUUGGACAAAUUUUGGACUAGUUUAGAUCUAGUUUUGACUGGUUUCAGACUAGUUUCGAACUAGUUUUGGCUGGUUUCAGACUAGUUUAGAUCUAGUUUUGGACUGGUUUCAGACUAGUUUCGAACUAGUUUUGGCUGGUUUCAGACUAGAUUUAACAAAACUCUACUAGUCCUCUCAUAUUUGAUCACAUAAACACCACUACAUGUGACUUUUGGCCUCAUAUACCACAGAUUUUGUUGUUUUUCUCCAGAAUCCCUUCAACAUUUCCCUCCGUCUCAGUCCUCCCCAGGUUCUGUAGGUUUCUUCCAGUCACCUUGAAAAUGAAACAGCCGGUUAGUUGUCCAACAAACUGCCCAUGUAGCUUCUUCUACGUCGAGGUCGGACUGACAUCUGGAACAUUCCAAGUGGCCGCUGCUGCUGCUGCUGUUUUGUGUGUUUGGUUUUUUAAGAGUAUUUUUCUACAGCUUUUUGUAUGUCACGCUUCUUACAGGGCUGUCGGCGUGUGUGUACAUGUGUGUUGGAGUGUGAACAUGCGGUCAGUGCGUGUUUGUAUGUUAUCUGGUUUCUUCCUCGCUGUUUCAUGAUGACCGAUGGAUCUACAUGCUCUCUGAACAGACUGUAGCCUCUAAUGUUUUUGUGUAAACGGUGAAUAUUUGGUUUGUAUCAUCCUGUAUCGCACCAAUAAAACUAUAUAUACACUCACAC